rnacentral:lncRNA from 1 species
AUGUUGAGUGCUUCCUUGGAAGUCUUUGAGCAGAGCCUUGUCAUAGAGAGAUUCCUAACCUUUUUUAUGAUGAUAGAAGUCACCAUAGCCAGGAAUCCUCUUACGUGCUUGCUUUUCCUCUUUGUUCCUGCGGCUCUCCCCAAGCCUUGCAGCAUCUUCUUUUAUUAUUUUUUUGUAUCCUUGUAUAGCCUACUGGCUGCCCAAGCUCUUUUUCAGCCUCCCCCAAAUAUUUUCACAGCCGUAUUUUUUGUAG